AGAGAGAGACAUGCGCGCAUAUCAAUAAGCGGAGGAAAAGAAACUAACAAGGAUUCCCCUAGUAACGGCGAGUGAAGCGGGAAGAGCUCAAAUUUGAAAUCUUAAAGGGUUUCCCUUUACGAAUUGUAGUUUAAAGAAGUGUUUUCUGUUGAGGUUUUGGUAAAAGUUCUUUGGAAUAGGACAUCAUAGAGGGUGAGAAUCCCGUAUUUGACCUUUACUUUCAACUUUGUGAUACACUUUCAAAGAGUCGGAUUGUUUGGGAAUGCAGUCCAAAAUGGGUGGUAAAUUUCAUCUAAAGCUAAAUAUUGGCGAGAGACCGAUAGCGAACAAGUACCGUGAGGGAAAGAUGAAAAGAACUUUGAAAAGAGAGUUAAACAGUACGUGAAAUUGUCAAAAGGGAAGCGUUUGACACCAGUGUUGUUUUUCUGAAAAUCAAUUAAAGAACUGUUUAUGCCAAGUUGUUUAGACUUUAUCAGCUAACUGUUUAGUUUUGAGCUUUUCUUUAAUGCACUUUUCAGUUAACAAGUCAACAUCAAUUUCUUUUGCUGUAAAAAAGCUUGAGGAAGGUGGCUUGAGAUUCGUCUUAAGUGUUUAUAGCCUCUUGCCUAUGCAGUCGGAGAGAUUGAGGUCUGCAGCGUAGAUCCUUCGGGGCUAAAUGCAUUUGUGCUAAGUUAUAGCAUUUUAUAGACAACUUGUUGACUAUGAUUUGUCUUGUAGCUUACUCGCUUAUGUUAUUUUACCUACGCUUAGGAUGUUGACGCAUGAGAUAUACGC
rnacentral:rRNA from 1 species